rnacentral:lncRNA from 1 species
UUUUGCUCUUAGUAGGUACAAUUGAAGUAUCAUAUAAUAUAAUAUGAAGUCUUUUAAAAAAUUAAAAUUUGUUUAGUCUAAGAUGCAUAUUUUUUUUAAUUAUUUUUUAUUGGCUUUGAAUUAGCAGUCAGUACUGCGAGUACUCUCAGAUCUGUACUUUGUGUCUUUGUUGUGGUGAUGUCCCAAGCCAGGAGCCUGUAAGUCAGUGGUUGUCGUUUGUUGCCGUGUAACAUAUUUGUUUUUCGUUCAUUAUUUUGUACAUAAAUUAUGCCAUUAGUUUUAUCGUUUUACAUUAGUCAUUUCGGGGCCUUUUGUAGCUAUGUGAUAUGGGAUUUCUCAUUGUUGAAGGCCGUAUGGUGACAUAUAGUUGUUAAUUUCUGUCAUUUGGUCUCUUUGGGAGAGUUGUCUCAUUGACAAUCAUACCACAUCUUCUUAUUUCUUAUGGAAGUCUGGCUCUUCUUUAUAAUUGGUGAAUAGUCCUGUUGACUGCAAAAACAAUGGGAAAAUUGGAAAAACAACCUUUAAUAGUGAUUCUUGGAAAGGCUGAUCUGGAAAAAUUCUAGACAGAAGCAAAUUUAAAGAAAAUAGAUGGG